GAUUAUCAGUGUGUUGUAAGGAGGAAAAAAUUCAUUUCAGGAGAUUGGAGCUGGUGGACUGUGAGAAAAAGGAAUUGUGAUGGAAACCAGUUUCCGCACGGAUAGGAGCCGUGGAAUGCUUGCCACAAACUUUCCUGCCAACAGAUGCGUUUUGACAGUGGUUCAUGGACCCUUGUCAGCCCAGCAUGGAGAAAAGGUAGAGGACACAUGGGCAAAUCCCCAUCGCUCAGCUAACCUGGGGACGUUCCAUGACCCUGCAAAAUCGGAGCUUCCUAUACAGCAGCUCUUUGAAGCUGAGAUCAAGUCCUUAGUUCCCUUGGCCCAAGCAUGUCAAACUCACGGCCCGUGGGCCGCAUGUGUCCCACAACGAAUACUUUUUUUUCAGCCCAGCCAAUAUAACGGUAUGUAAGAAACGUUUUAAUAAAAAGUUCUUAACUU